UCAACCCUCGGUUAAGAAGGAUUAAUCUUUGAGUUUAAGCAUAUCAAUAAGAGGAGGAAAAGAAACUUACAAGGAUUUUUUUAGUAACGACGAGCGAACCGGGAACAACCUAGCCUUAGAAUCGGGUGCCUUCGUUAUCUGAAUUAUAGUCAUAAGAAUCUAAGUCCCCUAGAAGGGGGCACUAGAGAGGGUGAGAUCCCCAUUGUGUCCAGUCCUAUCACAACAUGAGACGCUGUCUACGAGUCGGGUUGUUCGAAAAUGCAGCCCAAAUCGGGUGGUGAAUUCCAUCUAAGACUAAAUAUGGGCGAGAGAUCAAUAUUGAACACCUUCCGCGAGGGAAAGAUGAAAAAGACUUUGAAAAGAGAGUUAAAAGUGCUUGAAAUUAUCAGGAGAAAAGUGGAUGGUUGCCGACGAUGCACCCCGAUCAAAUAUGGAAUGAAGACGAGCUAGUCUGUCGAUCUACUUGGGGAGUGGACCAGCAUAGAUUAGGGGGCAGACCAGGCUCUCGAUAUGCUCGUGGAAUGCCGCCUCCUCGAUUGUGGAAGGCAGCGCGCGCCUUUGGCGUGAUUCGGUAUCUUUGCUCUCUGGACGCGGGCCUGUGGGCUCCUUAUUUUACCCUUCUUGAAACACAAACCAAGGAGUCUGACAUGUGUGCGAGUCAAUGAGUGAGUAAAACCAUGAGGCGUAAGGAAGCUAAUUGGUGGGAUCCCUCUAGAGGGGUGUACCGCCGACCGAUCUUGAUCUUCUGAGAAGGGUUUGAGUGUGAUCAUACAUAUUGAGACACGAAAUAUAAUGAUCUAUGCCUGAGCAGGGCGAAGCCAUAGGAAACAUUGGUGGAGACCGGCAACGAUACUGACGUGUAAAUAUUUCAUCUAACUUGGGUGUAGGGGAUAAAUACCAAUCAAACCAUCUAGUAUCAGGUUUUCUCCAAGGUUUCCCUCAGGAUAGCUGAAGUUUGCGUACGAGUUUUAUCUAGUAAAGCCAAUGAUUAGGGGCCUCGAGGGUGCAAUGCCCUCGACCUAUUCUAAAACUUUUAAUAGGUAAGAUGGCAUGACUGCUUUGUUGAGCCAGACCAUGGAAUCAAGAGCUCCAAGUAGGCCAUUUUUGGUAAGCAGAAUUGACUAUACGAGAUGAACUGGAAGUUGGGUUACGGUGCCAAACUGUGCACUAACCUAGAUCUCACAAAGGGUGCUGGUCGAUUAAGACAGCUGGAAAUGUGUAACAACUUACCUACUAAAUCAACUAGCCCAAAAAAUGGAUGGCACUUAAGCGCACGACCUACACCUGGCCGUCAGGGCAAGUGCAAGGCCCCAAUGAGUAGGAGGGAGCGGUGGUCUCUACAAAACCUUGGGCGUGAGCCUUUGUGGAGCUGCCGUCGGUGCAGAUCUUAGUGGUAGUAGCAAAUAUUCAAAUUAGAACUUUGAAGGCCAAAGAAGAGAAAGAUUCCAUGUGAACGACACUUGAACAUGGGUUAGUCAAUCCUAAGGGUCGGGGGAUCCCCGAAAGAUAAAGCAUUUCUGCGUACUUCAAAAGCGAAUCGGGUUAAAAUUCCUUAAUCGGGAUAUGGCGGUCGACGAAAAUGUUAGAAAGUUUUGAGAUGUCGGCAGGAGACUCAGGAAGAGUUACCUUUUCUGCUUAAUAGCCUGGCCAUCCUAUAAUUGGCUCAGUCAGAGGUAGGGUCCAGCAGCUGGAAGAGCACCGCACAUUGCAUGGUGUCUGAUGCACUCCCGGUGGCACUGGAAAAGACCUAGAGGAUUCAAUGCCGUCCAUGCCCGGUUGUACUCAUAACCGCAUCAGGUCUCCAUUUGAACAUCCUCUGAUCGAUGGAACAAUGUAGGCAAGGAAAGUUGGUAAAAUGAAUCCGUUACUUCGGAAAAAGGAUUGGCUUUGAGGUCUGGGCACGGGGGUCCCAGCCUCUAACUUGUCGGCUGUCUGUGGACUGCUCAAGAUGCUCCCAUGGCGAGAGUGGGUCACCACAGCCAGUCGGGGGAUGGACUGAGAACAGUUCCUUUGAGGGCCUUCCCCGCGCAUCGAACGACCAACUCUUAACUGGUAUGGUCCUAACUAUUUAAUUAAAACAAAGCAUUGCGAUGGUCCCAGUGGAUGUUCACGCAAUGUGAUUUUAUCCCAAUGCUCUGAAUGUCAAAGUGAAGAAAUUCAACCAAGCGCGGGUAAAUAGAGGGAGUAACUAUGACGCUCUUAAGGUAGACAAAUGCCUUUUCAUCUAAUUAGUGAUGCGCAUGAAUGGAUUAAUAAGAUUUCCACUGUCCCUGUAUACUAUACACAAAAUCACCGCCAAAGGAACGGACUUGGCAGAAAUCAGCGGGGAAAGAAAACCCUGUUAAGCUUGACUCUAGUCCGACUUUAUGAAAUGACUUGAAAGGUGUAGUAUAAGUGGGAGUCGAAAGGCAAAAUUUAAAUACCACUAUUUUAACGUUAUUUUACUUAUUUUGUGAAUCAGAAGUGGGGCAUUGCCCCUCUUUUUGGA
rnacentral:rRNA from 1 species